rnacentral:rRNA from 1 species
AGAGUUUGAUCCUGGCUCAGGAUGAACGCUAGCGGCAGGCUUAACACAUGCAAGUCGAGGGGCAGCGCGAUGUAGCAAUACAUUGGCGGCGACCGGCGCACGGGUGCGUAACACGUAUGGAAUCUGCCCUUUACUGGGGGAUAGCCCGGAGAAAUCCGGAUUAAUACCCCAUAACAAUCGAGGUGGCAUCACCUUGAUUUGAAAGCUCCGGCGGUAAAGGAUGACCAUGCGCACGAUUAGCUAGUAGGUGAGGUAACGGCUCACCUAGGCUACGAUCGUUAGGGGGCCUGAGAGGGUUAUCCCCCACACUGGUACUGAGACACGGACCAGACUCCUACGGGAGGCAGCAGUGAGGAAUAUUGCGCAAUGGAGGCAACUCUGACGCAGCCAUGCCGCGUGCAGGAAGAAGGCGCUACGCGUUGUAAACUGCUUUUAACCGGGAAGAAACCCCUCUACGUGUGGAGGGUUGACGGUACCGGAGGAAUAAGCACCGGCUAACUUCGUGCCAGCAGCCGCGGUAAUACGAAGGGUGCAAGCGUUAUCCGGAUUCAUUGGGUUUAAAGGGUGCGUAGGCGGGGUGGUAAGUCAGUGGUGAAAUCCUGCAGCUUAACUGUAGAAUUGCCAUUGAUACUGCCAUUCUUGAGUACGCUGGAUGUGGGCGGAAUGUGCCGUGUAGCGGUGAAAUGCUUAGAUAUGGCACAGAACACCGAUAGCGAAGGCAGCUCACAACGGCGAAACUGACGCUGAGGCACGAAAGCGUGGGGAUCGAACAGGAUUAGAUACCCUGGUAGUCCACGCCGUAAACGAUGAUCACUCGUCAUUGGCGAUACACUGUCAGUGACCUAGCGAAAGCGUUAAGUGAUCCACCUGGGGAGUACGGCCGCAAGGCUGAAACUCAAAGGAAUUGACGGGGGCCCGCAC